rnacentral:lncRNA from 1 species
GCUGUUAAGGAAUGAUUACGCCCUCUCCUUCUCUUUCUCCUUCCAUCUGCCAGAUACAGAUGGCAAGGAUACAAAUGACAAGGAGAGGGGGGUUAUGGAGCCACAGCUGGAAGGAGUCUGGUCCUUGAAUCACCAUUUGGAGAAAAAACCUGCAGAUGAUCCCAUCCUGCCUGCACAGCUUCUCCAGGGGAGAUAGACACACAGAAGCCCACGAGAGUCAAAUAAGAGCCAUACCUUCCAGGUCUCCAUGACACAGACAUCCUCCACCACACCUGUUAAGAAAGUCGAAAUCGUCACUGCCACCCACACUGGGGUUCUGCUUUCCUGAUUACACCUUUCUCAUCUCUAUCACCUAUGCCAGGAACCCAAACCCAAGUCUUCCCAGCUGUGUGCAGAAUCACAGUGGCCACACCAAGACAACAGUGCCCAGCAGCAGCAUAGUACACCUAAAGGUGCUGCACUCUUGAUGUGGAUGCUGAUGAAAAGGAGAGUAGAAAUAAUAACAAUAUGUUUCGACGGGGCAUGGUGGCUCAUGCCUGUAACCCCAGCACUUCGAGAGGCCAAG